rnacentral:rRNA from 1 species
AACGAACGCUGGCGGCAUGCCUAACACAUGCAAGUCGAACGAGACCUUCGGGUCUAGUGGCGCACGGGUGCGUAACGCGUGGGAAUCUGCCCUUGGGUUCGGGAUAACAGUUGGAAACGACUGCUAAUACCGGAUGAUGUCUUCGGACCAAAGAUUUAUCGCCCAGGGAUGAGUCCGCGUCGGAUUAGCUAGUUGGUGAGGUAAAGGCUCACCAAGGCGACGAUCCGUAGCUGGUCUGAGAGGAUGAUCAGCCACACUGGGACUGAGACACGGCCCAGACUCCUACGGGAGGCAGCAGUGGGGAAUAUUGGACAAUGGGCGAAAGCCUGAUCCAGCAAUGCCGCGUGAGUGAUGAAGGCCUUAGGGUUGUAAAGCUCUUUUACCCGGGAUGAUAAUGACAGUACCGGGAGAAUAAGCCCGGCUAACUCCGUGCCAGCAGCCGCGGUAAUACGGAGGGGCUAGCGUUGUUCGGAAUUACUGGCGUAAAGCGCGCGUA